AUUGAACGCUGGCGGCAUGCUUUACACAUGCAAGUCGGACGGCAGCACAGAGAAGCUUGCUUCUUGGGUGGCGAGUAGCGCACGGGUGAGUAAUAUAUCGGAACGUACCGAGUAAUGGGGGAUAACUAAUCGAAAGAUUAGCUAAUACCGCAUAUUCUCUGAGGAGGAAAGCAGGGGACCUUCGGGCCUUGCGUUAUUCGAGCGGCCGAUAUCUGAUUAGCUAGUUGGUGGGGUAAAGGCCUACCAAGGCGACGAUCAGUAGCGGGUCUGAGAGGAUGAUCCGCCACACUGGGACUGAGACACGGCCCAGACUCCUACGGGAGGCAGCAGUGGGGAAUUUUGGACAAUGGGCGCAAGCCUGAUCCAGCCAUGCCGCGUGUCUGAAGAAGGCCUUCGGGUUGUAAAGGACUUUUGUCAGGGAAGAAAAGGCUGUUGCUAAUAUCGACAGCUGAUGACGGUACCUGAAGAAUAAGCACCGGCUAACUACGUG
rnacentral:rRNA from 1 species